UGUCUGGGUCUGUGUGUGGUUGUUGUUCAUGUGGAGGCGUUCCAAUUUAGGAAGCAGAAACAUGGAAGCAUAAGGAUUUUCUUUGUGUGCCCUUUUUAUAAUGGCUGUAACAUUCCUAAGCGGGGGAAGAAAAUUGCCCAGACGUUCUGGACCCGACUCCCGCAACACCAAGACUGAUGAGCUCAACAGAAUCUACUGUCUUUCCGCUGAGGAGACCACUCUGGAGACCAUUAAACCUGUGGCUCUAGUGAUCGAAGCACUCUAAUGGAAGGUGGAGAGAAAGGUAGCCAAUGUUUCUACCAAGACCAUGGUCCGAGACGACAUUCCUGUAGGCAACAUGUUCCUCCCCAAUGACCUGAGAGCUUUUGGUGUUUACCGAUGGGAAGAGAUGUCAAGGACUUUGUCAACGCCUGAUUUAUCUGUGCCAGAGGCAAGGCCUUUCGUCAUCCUCUCGCCUGUCUUCUUCACCCACUACACCCACAGUACAUUGGAAUUCAUUGGGCAACUGUUUCAUUCUUAAUGUGGUCGAUUUUCAAAUAUGACACACUUAAUUACCCUGUCUAAACUACCUACAUACCAUUCUUGGCCCUCUGUACAUUUGUAUUUGUCUACAACACAUUAUAAGGACCAAAUAAACACGUCCCGGAUGAGAACAUUGCACAAAAAAAUCAAAGAAAAUAAUAGAACCAGUCUGUGGAAGGGGCGUGGUCAACGCGUCACCUGCGGGCAGGGCAUGUGCAGGAACCGGCUGUGGAGCAGAUGCCAGGUGAGUGGAUAUCUCAGCUGGAACGAGUUAUCUAAUCACCUGUCUCUUUAUUAGCAGGGUUGGUGACCGCAGCAGGGGGCUGAAAAGCCAGAGGACCUGAAGCUGGAGAGCUGAAAAGCUAGAAAAAGCUGAAAAGCCAGAGCAGGAAGGAGGAAAGACUUUGGGAGGGAAUUGAAAGGAGGAAGAGACUUUGUAAUACUGAAAAUAAAAAGACAUUGUAACCUUGGCAACCAGCCUGGCCACAGUCUGUCGGUCCUGACAAGAACCCUGCAUCACAGAUC